GCCCGAUAGGGGCCAGAGCCGGGCGACUGCGGCCGGGCGCACCCGCCACCUGCCCGCGGACUGCGGCGCAGCGGUCCCAGGAAGUGCGGCGGCGGCGGCGGCCUCCACUCAGCUCUGUUGUGACAGGGAGGGAGACUUGUUUUGACAGCCCUUGGGGAUUGGCAGGCGUCUGGGCCUCUUAGGAGCCUCGCCUCGCCGAGGGGGCUCGGCCCGACCAAUCCUCACUGCGGAGGGGUGUGCCCGAGCGCGAAGAAUGGAAUGUGUUCUGCAACUGGGAGCCGGCCCAGCGGGGCUAAUGUACUCGAGCCAGGGUGUACCCGCGCGCGCGCGUGUGCAAACCCGGAGGCGCUCCGUGUAUAUUUUAGGAAGUUUAGAUUUGCGAAAUGAGCCUGAGAUGCAACAAAAAUCCAGGUUGGGUGAAGGAGAGGGGAGAAAGAAACCUUCUUCUGCCAAACAAAGCAAUUUGGAGGAAAGUGGGUAUUGAGUAUGAAUGUCUAAGCGUUUGGGGUGACGGGGUGAAGCUUUGCGUGGUCACAGGUUAAUUGCAGGCUCUCAGGCCAAUUCUUAGAAGUCAAGUCCAUGCAGAGAUAAACUAGGGUUUACUGGGAUCUUGGGGUUCCAUAAUUUGCUUCAGGUUCCAGGAAAGGAUUCUAAGGUCAUUCUGCAGUGUGAGUAAAUAUAACAAGGAAAGGGAGUCAGUGAAAGAGAUGAGGGUGAAAGGAAACUGAACCAACUAAAUCCCUCCGAAGACUGACUCUUAAAAAGCACAGAUAUAAUCCAAGUCAGAUAAAUGCAGGUGGGGAGUUUAGUCUCUAUCCUAAAACAUUCCUAUUUGACAAUGGUUCAGCCUCCUUUCUCUAUAUAAUCCUAUAUAAAAACAUAUUUUGCUCAUUUCCAGUAAGCUAGCAACCAAGAAGGGAGAGAUCUUUGGAUGAUGAGUUAAGUCACUGAAAUUAUCCACAGAAUGCUCAGAUGCAAACCAUGGUCCUAAGGCUCCCUGAAUGCCAUCUCCAUGUGCCUAAAGACCUUGCGAUUUUAUUCAUUGCUGUAUCUCCAGCUCCCAGAACUAUGUCUGGAACAGAGUCUCCUAAUAAGUUAAAGGACGCAUUGCACGUAAUCAAAGAAGAGGACAUACAGCAUUUUCACCUCGAGAUUGUUCACCAGACAGGGGCUGAAUCCUGAGUGAAAGUGGCAUGGAGCAGAACUGAAGCCAAUCUAUAAUAGACACGUAACAUGAGCAAUAAAACAUCCUUUGUUGUAAACCCCUUGGAUUUGAGGGUCAUUUGUUACUGUAAUAUAACCUAGCCUCUGCUGAGUGAUAGAGGUAUGUAAGUUUACUGA
rnacentral:lncRNA from 1 species